UCACUGAUGUCAUGUCCACUAUAGCAAUUGUGUUGAGGAGGUCCACCAAAUGUAGGAUCCCUAUAUAUAUGAGACCCAGUAGGAGCAAUUUCUGAGAAAUCUUUCCGAUCCAUCUUUCCAAAGUAAUUAGUUCUUCAUAAUCAUUAUUGAAGAUGUCGUAAGCAUUUAGUGAAGGACUCAUGGUUUUUUGUACUGCUCUUCCUAUUUCAAUUAAGGUUUGCUGAAAGAUAGUUUCAUAUAUACUGAGAGAGCAGAACAAAGGGACAGAGGCGAGGCAGGUGAAGAUGAUGAAAUUGGGAUUCUUGAAAGGGAUGCUUAGAGACUCUUUGAGUAAGCCAAAGAACCCUAGUUUCCCCUGCAACAUAAUGUGUGAGUUCCCCUCCAUCUUCUCUUGUUGAAUCUCAGAACUCAUGGUUAAUUUAAGAGUACUGAAGUCUUCUCUGUAGUCUAGAAGAAAGUUGACUUUGUAGUCUUGUUGAUUCCAGGAUGGUCCCCAUAAGAUGAUAACGGUCCAUGACGUGUCUUUGGCUGAUAGGUCAGUCCUCGCUCUUGGCAUGACCUUCACUUAUAAUUAACUGUUAUAUAACAUANNNUUAAAUAUUUAUAUUGAAUUGUCGGUUUGGUCAAGCCAAGUCCGACCCGAGCCCGCCCAUGCCCAACCCGAGCCCGCCCAGAUCCGACCUAUGUUUAAUGCCUAGUCGGGCUGACCGGGCCGGGCCGGGCUUUCAUAAAAUUUCAGGCUCGGACUCGGGCUCUAAGAUAUUAAAAAUUUCUCGGGCCUGGACGGGCUCAGGCUUCUCCAAAAUUAAAUCAGGUCCGGUCAAACCCGGCCCGAGCCCGCCCAGGCCCGACCCAUGAACAGGUCUAAAAGGAACUAAUUUUUUUCUUUCUCUUUUCUCAAGAAAACUUUAUAGUGGAAAUAAAACUAAGAUAAUGAAUCUCAGCUAUUUAUAGAUUUAUGGCGCGUCACAAGGAUUGAAGACAAAAUCUUCAUUGGCUGUUAAAUUCUAAUUUUGACUUUUCCCUUUGUUAUCUGUAUUUUCUGCUUGUAUCUGGAGAAGCAGGCUAUCCCCAUAUUGUAGGUUCUCAAAACAAUGCAUUCAAUAUUCAGUGAAAACAAACCAGGGUCUGCAAGUGUAUCGUUAGAGUCCUGAUUGCUAGAUGCAAGAUUGCUGAGAAAAAUGUUUCUCAAUGGAAGCCUUUGGGCGAACUUACAUCUCUUUCCAAUCAGUGCCAUUGACGUUGUAUUAUGACAACAUUAAUGCACUGAUAAUAAAGAAUGAAUUUGGGACAUCAGCAAUGAGCUUGAAUUAGUGGUACUAGAAUUGUACUUUGGAAGUUGGAUUCCAAUUAACACAAUAUGAAAAAAAUGUCCGAUAUUAGCAGAUUAAUUGAACUAUUAUUUAUCAUUAUCGUUCAGAACAAGCAUAAACAUCCAUGUGCUUGCUGUACUAAUUAGCCAAAGAUAAACCUUGCGAACUCUUAAUAUCUUGCUGCUGCACUAGCAAACAGCGAUUUCAAAGCAAAAUUGCGCAAUUUACAGUUAAACUCUUUCAGCUGAUCUUCCUUGCUCCACAUCAACUUUCUUCUCAAGAAAUCUCUUUUUACAGUCGUAGAAGUAGACUGUGAAAACAACCCACUUCAUCACAUUCCCCACACAAACCGAGAAAACUUCCCCAACUGAAACCAUAACCAAACUUAUACUCUCAGUCCACACUCCAUAUACACAUAUUAAUCUAAAAGAAACCCACCAAACAAAGAACACAAGCAUUGAUAAAAAUCCACGCUUCCUGCAGCCUCUGCUGAUAUAAGCUGAGACCCCAAGUGCCACAUCUCCAUGUUUCUCGUCCAAGAUUGAAAUCACCAUACCCAUGUUCCAUAUGGCACUCCACUCUAUAUACUUUGUUAAUAAAGCUAUAAUGGCCAGCCCAAAAGCUGUCUUGAAUAUACUGGCUGCAUGGAUACUACUUGUCACAAAAAAGUGUGUUGAUAAUGAUAGAAUUCCAAUUAAAGUAAGAGUACUCAAUAUAAGAGCAUAGGUUGAUGUAAUCAAAGGUCCUUUAAGACCAACCGUUCUAAAGGGUCUGCAUAACAUUUCCUUAAGAUUAGCUGUGCCUUCUCCUGCAUAAACCAUUGAUGCCGAAUAAACUGUAGUAAUGGUGUUGAGAAGGUGCAGUAGAUGGGCCAUUCCCAAGUAAAGCAAACCUGGUAAGAGAGAUGGUAGGAAGACAUCUAGAAUCAAUUCCCUGAUAACAUCUAUUGGUCGUGGUUGCCAGGAGAGAUCAAUUAUUUUCCCAAAAGGAUCAUCAUAAGUCGGAGUUGUGAGUUUGGAUUUAAUUGCAUCAAUUAAAGGCUGCUGGAAGUUGAUUUCAAGAAAGAGCAAGAAGCAGAAGUAAGGG
rnacentral:lncRNA from 1 species